rnacentral:rRNA from 1 species
UACGGAGGGUGCAAGCGUUAUCCGGAAUCACUGGGCGUAAAGGGCGCGUAGGUGGUCUGUUAAGUCUGGCGUUAUAGCCUGGGGCUCAACCCCAGAUCAGCGUUGGAUACUGGCAGGCUAGACGGUUGGAGAGGCGAGUGGAAUUACCAGUGUAGCGGUGGAAUGCGUAGAUACUGGUAGGAACACCCAUUGCGAAGGCAGCUCGCUGGACAACACGUGACACUGAGGCGCGAAAGUGUGGGGAGCAAACCGGAUUAGAUA